GACGUAGGGCGCAAGCGUUGUCCGGAUUUAUUGGGCGUAAAGAGCUCGUAGGCGGCCUGUCGCGUCGACCGUGAAAACCCGCAGCUCAACUGCGGGCUUGCGGUCGAUACGGGCAGGCUGGAGUUCGGUAGGGGAGACUGGAAUUCCUGGUGCAGCGGUGAAAUGCGCAGAUAUCGGGAGGAACACCAGUGGCGAAGGCGAUCACCUGGGGUUGUUCUGACGCUGAGGAGCGAAAGCUAGGGGAGCAAACGGG
rnacentral:rRNA from 1 species